rnacentral:rRNA from 1 species
UACGUAGGGAGCAAGCGUUGUCCGGAAUCAUUGGGCGUAAAGAGCGCGUAGGUGGCUUUAUAAGUCCGUUGUGAAAGUCAAAGGCUCAACCUUUGAAAGCCGAUGGAUACUGUGAAGCUAGAGUACGGAAGAGGCGAGUGGAAUUCCUGGUGUAGCGGUGGAAUGCGCAGAUAUCAGGAGGAACACCAAUAGCGAAGGCAGCUCGCUGGGACGUACUGACACUGAGGCGCGAAAGCGUGGGGAGCGAACGG